GCCGUAGCGCAGCGUGUUCGUCCGCGUCGCUGCGGUUAAAUCAAAUGACAGAACUACGCAUGUAGAACUGGUUAUGGACUGCUUCUGGACGCGGGUUCGAUUCCCGCCGGCUCCACCA
rnacentral:tRNA from 1 species